rnacentral:rRNA from 1 species
GAUGAACGCUAGCUACAGGCUUAACACAUGCAAGUCGAGGGGCAGCAUGGUCUUAGCUUGCUAAGGCCGAUGGCGACCGGCGCACGGGUGAGUAACGCGUAUCCAACCUGCCUUACACUCUUGGACAGCCUUCUGAAAGGGAGAUUAAUACAAGAUGUUAUCAUGAGUAAGCAUUUUCGCAUGAUUAAAGGUUUACCGGUGUAAGAUGGGGAUGCGUUCCAUUAGAUAGUAGGCGGGGUAACGGCCCACCUAGUCUUCGAUGGAUAGGGGUUCUGAGAGGAAGGUCCCCCACAUUGGAACUGAGACACGGUCCAAACUCCUACGGGAGGCAGCAGUGAGGAAUAUUGGUCAAUGGACGAGAGUCUGAACCAGCCAAGUAGCGUGAAGGAUGAAGGUUCUAUGGAUUGUAAACUUCUUUUAUACGGGAAUAAACGGAUCCACGUGUGGAUUUUUGCAUGUACCGUAUGAAUAAGGAUCGGCUAACUCCGUGCCAGCAG